rnacentral:lncRNA from 1 species
CUAACACUGGAGCUAAGUCUUGAAGGUGGGAAAGUGAGAUCAACCUCCGUAAUGGAACGAUGAUGAAUGACACCCAUGAGUGGCAGGCCCAGGAGCAGGGAAGCAUAGAGAAGCAUCUACAAUCCCUUCUGGAGUCUCCCUUCUGUGUGCUCGGACUUCAAGUCUGACAGGGCAUGUGGGUUCUGAGAUGAGCUUCUCACUUCCUGUAUCAGCAACUUGCUCCUCGUCCACCAUCCAGUCAAUACAGAGGCGUGAGAGCUGCCAAGCAGAGCAUGUAUGGACCCUAUGGAGAAAGGUGACUUUUGACUAUCAAGUAGACAGAUGAAGUCAACUAGAACAAACGAGCUUG